GGGAACGUGGCUCAGUGGUAGAGUGCUUGCCUCACAUGCACGAAGCCAUAGGUUUGAUUCCUCGGCACCA
rfam:Dipodomys ordii contig_55391, whole genome shotgun sequence.